rnacentral:rRNA from 1 species
CCUACGGGAGGCAGCAGUGAGGAAUAUUGGUCAAUGGACGAGAGUCUGAACCAGCCACGUAGCGUGAAGGAUGACUGCCCUAUGGGUUGUAAACUUCUUUUAUAUGGGAAUAAAAUGUUCCACGUGUGGGAUUUUGUAUGUACCAUAUGAAUAAGGAUCGGCUAACUCCGUGCCAGCAGCCGCGGUAAUACGGAGGAUCCGAGCGUUAUCCGGAUUUAUUGGGUUUAAAGGGAGCGUAGGUGGAUUGUUAAGUCAGUUGUGAAAGUUUGCGGCUCAACCGUAAAAUUGCAGUUGAAACUGGCAGUCUUGAGUAUAGUAGAGGUGGGCGGAAUUCGUAGUGUAGCGGUGAAAUGCUUAGAUAUCACGAAGAACUCCGAUUGCGAAGGCAGUUCACUGGACUGCAACUGACACUGAGGCUCGAAAGUGUGGGUAUCAAACAGGAUUAGAUACCCUUGUAGUC